rnacentral:rRNA from 1 species
GACGAACGCUGGCGGCGUGCUUAACACAUGCAAGUCGAACGGAAAGGCCCUGCUUUUGUGGGGUGCUCGAGUGGCGAACGGGUGAGUAACACGUGAGUAACCUGCCCUUGACUUUGGGAUAACUUCAGGAAACUGGGGCUAAUACCGGAUAGGAUCUCCUGCUGCAUGGUGGGGGUUGGAAAGUUUCGGCGGUUGGGGAUGGACUCGCGGCUUAUCAGCUUGUUGGUGGGGUAGUGGCUUACCAAGGCUUUGACGGGUAGCCGGCCUGAGAGGGUGACCGGCCACAUUGGGACUGAGAUACGGCCCAGACUCGUACGGGAGGCAGCAGUGGGGAAUAUUGCACAAUGGGCGGAAGCCUGAUGCAGCAACGCCGCGUGCGGGAUGACGGCCUUCGGGUUGUAAACCGCUUUCGCCUGUGACGAAGCGUGAGUGACGGUAAUGGGUAAAGAAGCACCGGCUAACUACGUG